GGUUGUUGCAAGCUAAUGGAGCUUCUAAAGUCUGCGAGGCGUCGAGCCUUGAAACUGGGCGCGCUUUUUCCUUUAAGAAAUCAAAUUUUUUUCCUUUGGGAUUCAGUUUUAGAAAUAAAUUUUGAACUAAGAGUUGCGGAGAUCUUAACUAAAAAAGUUUCAGCCGACAAUUCUUUAGCUUUUCAAAAAAAUCCUUUUCUACCUUAUGACUCGGAGUUGUAUAUUUGCGACCUUGGCAAUUCUCACGUUUGCUUAUUAAACAAAUAUAGCGUCGUGAAAAAUCAUAUUUUAGUGGUUACUAAAAAUUAUCGCCAUCAAAGCGAUUCCUUAACCCAGGAUGACAUAGAAGCUUGGAAAAUGGGUAUUAAGAUGUUAAAAGCUUAAUACUAGAUUUACAGAAAGUUACUUUUAUUAGGUAUAGGUUUUUUUAACUGUGGACCUGAAUCAGGUGCGAGUCAACCUCAUAAACAUUUCCAAGUAAUUCCAGGAAAAAGCGAACUUAUAAACGAAUUAUAUUCCCAAGGAGUUAAAGAUGGCGAUACAAUAAAUAAACAUCCUAAAUUAAAGUUUAAACACGGCUAUAUAUGUUUUAAAGGAUAUAGCGGUCCCUACUACAAAUGGCCAUAUUUACAGCAACAAGCUUGGAUACUUAGAAGGAUUUCAGUCUUUUAAUAUAAUAUUAACCGAAAAGUUAAUUUUACUAGUUAAAAGAUCGAGACAUAGUUUUUCUUAUGGCAAGUCUUCAUACGAAGUCGACAUAUCUGUUAAUGCACUGGGAUUUGCUGGAUUUCUCCUGGCC